UUCGACAUCCAUCGGGAACCAUGCAACCAUAGGAGAAGCAGAGGCCGCUGAAGGUGUCCCUGCUCGCCGACGAGCAGGACGUGGUGGCCGUGCACCUAGGCCGCGGGCAGCGGCUCGUGCUGCCAGUGCUACCGUCGACAUUGAUCUCACUGAUCCAAUAGAAGCUGAUUGGUGUGAUGAGAACACUAGAAUAGUGUGUGAGCUUUUUGCAGACGAAGUGGAAAAAGGAAAUCGUGAUACAACUCAUUUGAGUAAGACUGGUUACUUGAAUAUGAUAACAAGGUUCAAGGAUAGGACUGAGUUUCUGUAUACUAGAAAACAGUUUAAGAAUAAAUGGGAUAAGCUGAAAGUUGAUUACGGUAUUUGGAAGCAACUCACUAAGCAGACUGGUUUGGGAUGGAGUGCAUCAGGGAAAGAUAUUGACAUGACAGAGGCUUGGUGGAAGGAAAAAGCAAAG